AGAUUCUGCGAACUCUCGUGCUGAUUCAGCGACUGAGACAUUUGAAUGUUCUUCUUGGCGGCAUUUCUUACUUUUACAAGGAUUUUCAUGGGAUUUGUGCUGCUCUUCGUCUUCGUUUUGCUCACAAUCAUAAGACUUCACUUCGCAUCUUGAGAAGUUAGUGAUAUUAUUAUAUUAUUGAAUAUGUAAUCUUUACAUGAAUUGUUGUCUUCAUUGUAUUGUCGUCUAGUUUUGCGCACAACGAUUUAUAUAGUGACAAAUUAUUUGCAAUUUUUAUUUAUUUUAAUUGUACUAAAUUCUGUCUUUUGUGGCGAAUUCAUCAGUUUUCUGAUUUCAUUUGAUGGCAAUUUUGCCUCUGAAUUUUUUAUUCUUUGAUUGCUCAAUCAAAAUUCUCCAUAAAUUCUUUAGCAAUCUAUAAUAGAUCGGAUGAUCUUAAUUUCAGCAAUUCGGUAAUUUUUGCUGGUUCAAUUCUUUCUGUAAUUCUUGAAUUGAAUUUGCAAAACGCGCAUUCUUCAGAGCAUUUACACGGAUUUCGAAAUCUUGUGAAAUCCUUUCUUGGGAUUUAU